CUUAUAUACCCCUGAAAAGUUCCCGACUUUCUAAUUUACCCCUCUUAGAAGGCUAAUGUUGAAAAUACCCCUCCUAUGUUCCAACCUAUUUCUAAUAUACCCUUAGGGCUUGUUUGGUUCAUCUAUUUUGGGUAUGGAAUGGGAAUCGGUUUGAUCAAAUCCGGUUAAUUUUGUUUGGUUCGCAUUAAUCGGUUUGGGAUUUCUAUUCCGGACUGGAAUGGGAAUGGCCCAUUAGCCUUCAACUUGAUUCCGGUCUUCUAGCCCGGAUUGAGAUUUCAUUCCGAAAGCCCACUAAGUUCUCAAAGCCCAUAUGACCUUCUUACCCUCCUUCUCUUCACCUCUUUCUCAUCAAAAAAAAAAAAAA
rnacentral:lncRNA from 1 species